rnacentral:rRNA from 1 species
GAUGAACGCUAGCUACAGGCUUAACACAUGCAAGUCGAGGGGAAACGAUAUUGGAAGCUUGCUUCCGAUAGGUGUCGACCGGCGCACGGGUGAGUAACGCGUAUCCAACCUGCCCGUCACUUGGGAAUAACCUUGCGAAAGUAAGACUAAUGCCCAAUGACAUUUAUAGAAGGCAUCGGAAAUGAAUUAAAGAUUUAUCGGUGAUGGAUGGGGAUGCGUCUGAUUAGCUUGUUGGCGGGUAACGGCCCACCAAGGCAACGAUCGAGUAGGGGUUCUGAGAGGAAGGUCCCCCACAUUGGAACUGAGACACGGUCCAAACUCCUACGGGAGGCAGCAGUGAGGAAUAUUGGUCAAUGGGC